rnacentral:lncRNA from 1 species
AGGAGCUUGGACAACAAUGGUAUAACAUCUACUCUGAACUUUCUUCCUCUUUCAUAGCCAUUGGUAAUCUCAAUGACCAUUUGACUUCUGGCUACCAUUUAUAUAGCAUCAUCUGCUGCAAACGUGCAUUAUUUUUUUCUCACUUUGACAACUUCUCAAUACUUUGUGUCUCUGAAUUUAUCUUGUAUAUAAAGCUAAUAUAUUUUCUCCGUGUUUUGAAAACUAAUGACAGCAUCCCUCGACCAAGUUUACAAGGGCCGGCUAAAAGAGAAUUGGGAUUUGGUAGCUGUCAAAGUACAGAGGCCUUUUUUCCUUGAGACUAGCAGUAGAUUUAUUCAUUAAAAGCCACUUGGGACUUCUCUUUGCAAAUUUCUGUAGGUACUGAUUGUUCAUUUUCUUGUUGUGUAUUAUUUGUGGAAGAGGUGAUUAACAAGGAGUAGUGAAUCCACCUCAAAUCUAAUUUUUAAGAUAUCCG